rnacentral:rRNA from 1 species
GGACUACAGGGGUAUCUAAUCCUGUUUGCUACCCACGCUUUCGUAGUUGAGUGUCAGUCACUGUCCAGGUCGCCGCCUUCGCCUCUGGUGUUCCUCCCGAUCUCUACGCAUUUCACCGCUACACCGGGAAUUCCACGACCCUCUCCAGUACUCCAGUCUCACCGUUUCAAGGGCACUUCUUGGGUUAAGCCCAAGGCUUUCACCCCUGACAAAUGAGACCACCUACCUACCCUUUACGCCCAAUAAUUCCGAGCAACGCUUGCACCCCUCGUAUUACCGCGGCUGCUGGCAC